rnacentral:rRNA from 1 species
AUUGAACGCUGGCGGCAGGCCUAACACAUGCAAGUCGAACGAGUGGCGGACGGGUGAGUAAUGUCUGGGAAACUGCCUGAUGGAGGGGGAUAACUACUGGAAACGGUAGCUAAUACCGCAUACCAUCAGAUGUGCCCAGAUGGGAUGAGCUAGUAGGUGGGGUAAUGGCUCACCUAGGCGACGAUCCCUAGCUGGUCUGAGAGGAUGACCAGCCACACUGGAACUGGUACACGGUCCAGACUCCUACGGGAUGCAGCAGUGGGGAAUAUUGCACAAUGGGCGCAAGCCUGAUGCAGCCAUGCAGCGUGUGUGAAGAAGGCCUUCGGGUUGUAAAGCACUUUCAGCGAGGAGGCGUUACUCGCAGAAGAAACACCGGCUAACUCCGUGCCAGCAGCCGCGGUAAUAC